AACGUUUUCUGAAAUUUUAGCUAUAAAGCUUCUCAGAAUUUUAUUUUAUUAUUUUUUAAAAAUAUUUAUUUUAUUUUUUAGAGAGAGAGCAAGAUCAUGAGCAGUGGGGGAGCGGCAGAGGGAGAGAGAGAAUCCCAAGCAGACUCCACGCUUGAGUGCGGAGCCUGACACGGGGCCCGCUCUCACGACCACCUGAGCUGAAAUCAAGAGUCGGACACUUAACUGACGAAACCACCUGGGCGACCCAUAGAGCUGCUCAGAAUUUUAGAUCAUCUGUUCUACUCCAACCAAGGGAUGCUCGUGUAUGUAAAGCAUGAAGAGUGGGCAGUGAUGGCUCUGCCACCAGCAGGAGUAGGGGCCAGCAUCAACAGUGCCAUCCUGAGGAGUCUCCGGCAGCUACACGUCCCAUGGAGCUCGUCCUGUGGCCGGCUGGCUUUCCCAGAAGUCCACAUUCCAGCUUCCUCCCGCAGGCCCCGACCCCUACAGCAGGGGAGUGGGUACCGUGUGAAACUCUCUGAAACGCACCGGGGCACCUGGUCCCAUCUCCCACCGAAGGGGCCAGAGGCUAAUUGGCAGGAACGCCGCAUCCUGUAUCAGCCCCGCAGACGUGUGCUCUGGGCCCCGGAGCCGAGUGCUGCCGGGAAACGCGCACUCGUCUCCUCCGUAUCUGUUACAGGCCCCGCGGUUCACCGUCUGCUCGGAAAUUGGGGCACAUGUCUUUUGGCCAUUACCCAGAAGGCCAAAAGCUGCCAUCCUGGCAUCUCGUGGGCAAGAGGCAGGGAUUCCACGUGUGGGCCAUGGGACCAGCAACUCCGAACCAUCAGCGUUUCUUGGAUCGUCCGCAAUACCAUCUCGUGUUCUGCGGCUGCUCUUCAACUUUCUCGAGAUGUGUUUGCCUGGAGCAUGAGUUGGGAUUGCUUCUUGGGAGAACAAGUUGCCACACGUAUCAGAAUAUAA
rnacentral:lncRNA from 1 species